GUGCUGGAUUUGGCAGCACAUAUACUAAAAUUGAAAUGAUACAGUGAAGAUUAGCAUGGCCCCUGUGCAAGGGGGAAACACAAAUUCAUGAAGAAUUCCAUAUUUAA